UAUCCAAGCAUGUACGGUGGGUGCUACGUUCUGUCACCGGCAGAAUAUACGUUCCAACAAAACAUAAUCAAAUAAUUUAAUUAGUAACAAUGAGCAGGCCGGCUAAAAUAAGAAAGCUAGAUGAAACUGUGGUGAACAGAAUAGCCGCCGGGGAAGUUAUUCAGCGACCAGCAAACGCUCUGAAAGAACUGAUCGAAAACAGCCUCGACGCCAAGGCCAGCAGUAUUCAAGUCACAGUCAAAGAAGGCGGGUUGAAAAUACUUCAGAUUCAGGACAAUGGAACGGGGAUCAGGAAAGAGGACAUGGACAUUGUCUGCGAACGAUUUACUACCAGCAAACUACAGCAAUUCGAAGACCUCAAAUCAAUCGCCACCUUUGGCUUCAGGGGUGAAGCUCUUGCCAGUAUCAGCCACGUAGCUCAGCUGACGAUCACAACGAAAGUCGCCGACGACCCCUGUGCGUACAAGGCCUCGUACAUAGACAGUAAAUUGAAAGCACCUCCAAAACCUUGCGCUGGUAGCCAAGGUACGACAAUAUUGAUCGAAAAUCUGUUUUACAACGUCCCUACUAGACGGAGAGCAUUGAAAAGUCCAGCCGAGGAGCUUUCCAGGAUAACAGAAGUCGUGAAUAAAUAUGCAAUUCAUAAUUCUAACGUUGGUUUUGUUCUGAGAAAACAUGGGGACAUCGUUCCUCAGGUACGAACUCAGCACAAUUCUACAAAGGUUGCCAAUAUUCAAACGAUAUUCGGUGUUGCUGUGGCGAGGGAGUUGCUGGAGGUCGAGCACACCGACGAUACGUACAAAUUCAAACUAUGCGGUCUAGUAACGAACGCGAAUUACUCAAACAAAAACUUUACACUUCUGUUGUUCAUCAACAACAGGCUCGUCGAAUCUACCCCAAUAAAAAAAAUGUUGGAGGAUCUCUACUCGGUUUAUUUGCCGAGAAAGGCACACCCCUGGUGCUACAUAUCUCUUGAGAUAAAUCCGGCUAAUAUCGACGUGAACGUGCAUCCGACGAAGCACGAGGUUCGUUUUCUCCAUGAAGAGGCUAUAAUAGGAAAAGUGAAAGACGCCGUGGACGCACAACUGCUCGGAAACAACGCAUCGCGAACUUUUUACGCCCAAGCGAGAUUGCCUCAAGUCGACAUUACGAAACAAGCGCUGGAAGAAGUAAUUCCAGAGUACAGCAAUGCCGGGAACAAAGAAAAGCCAGUCCACGCUUACCAAAUGAUCAGAACAGAUUCCUCCGAUCAAAAACUGGAGAAGUUCAAUUUCACAGUCAACACAUCCAGCGCCAACCAAUCGCUCAAUGAAUCCAAGGAGGUAAAAAGCACGAUUGUUACGGAAAAUAAGGAAGACGGACAACCGAAGCGAUUAAAUCCGACGAAAUAUGCUGCGGAAAAGGCCCCCAACGAAUCGAGUUUUUUCGACAGUUUGUUAGAGGAUUGCUUACCGCAUCAAACCUCUACGCAAGUUGAAAAUCUUGCUAAACCUUCAACCAGUUACGCGCCCCUCGACGGUAACACAAAAGCUCAGGACGUCUCGGAGAUCGAAAAUGACGAGGUUGAAAAAGCCGUCAGUGGCGGCGAUUCUACCACCGAUGAGGCACUUAAGAGGGUUUUUCAGUACCUGGGUAAUCGGGAUAACAUAGAUUACGUAAAGACAAUCGUCGAGCCAGGAAGUAGCCAGGAUUUAGCUGAUCGACAUGACGGUUCCAAAACGAAGAAGACUGAUUCGCAAAUCACGUCGCCGAGUGAAAAUGCGACGGCUGAAACAAAGUCCGGCAGCAAGCCGAAGAGACCAGAGUUCAAAUCUUACUCGGUAAAUGCGACAAGGCGAGAGGUGAAGCUCACGAGCGUGUUGAAACUUCGGAAAAAUGUCGAAGACAACUACCACGAAGGGCUGAGGGACAUAUUGUCGAAUAUGAUUUUUGUUGGCUGCGUUGACGAAACUUUUGCCCUCAUACAGAGCGGACUCAAUCUGUACAUAUGCAACACCCCGAAGUUAUUGGAAGAACUUUUCUACGAAAUAAUGCUGUACGACUUUGAGAAUUACGGUGUUAUGCAAUUCUCGGAGCCCGUCUCACUGUCCGACCUCGCUAUGCUAGGACUCGAAACCGAGGAAGCCGGGUGGACAGAAGAAGACGGCGAGAAAGAGGAAUUGGCGAAUAGCGUGAAAGAAUUAUUGCUGGAAAAGGCCGAUAUGAUGAACGAGUACUUUUCGAUUAUAAUUGACAAAAAGGGGAUGUUAAAGUCCCUGCCUAUACUGCUGGACAAGUACUUUCCAAGCAAGGCUGGAAUGCCAUUGUACGUGUUGCGUUUGGCGACGGAAGUCGACUGGACCGCGGAACAAUCUUGUUUCGAUGGAAUAUGCAGAGAAACGGCCAAGUACUUCAGCUAUAUUCUCAACAUUCGUCAAGUGAAAAGUAUUCAUUUCACGGUGUGUGCUAUUCGAAGUGUGUGGAACGAUUUUUGUAUUCGUCGUUGCCCUCAUGCUGUGCGCUAAAUGGAUCCUACGCAGAUUGACAAUGUGGAUGAUGAUUGAACAUAUCGAUGGCAGAAGUUACAGGGUACAACUGUCCGUAUUACUUAAGAAAAAAAAAAAAUGGAAGAUACAAGUGAAAUUGCAUACACGAUGUCUCAAUGAGGGGGAUGAUUCGUCGGUAAUUAAGCCGUAAUUAUA
rnacentral:misc_RNA from 1 species